rnacentral:tRNA from 1 species
UAGAUGAAUGCUCGCUGGUUUGAGCGCUUAGCUGUUAACUAAGAGUUUGUGGGAUCAAGGCCCUCUCAUCUAG